GUUCGGUCCUUUUUUUUUUUUUUUUUUUUUUAUAAAUUCGGUCCAAUUUUUAAAAGAAUUGUUGAAGGUUGAAAGUUGAAACACAUCAUUCUAGCUCUCUGCCUCUCAGAAGAAGCAAAAGCAAUGGCGGCAAACUCUGAGAGUGAGAAACAAACGUUUCGCUUAUUCUCAACCUCCACCAGUUUGGGUCUAGGGUUUCUUGAUUCUUCAGAAAACCCUCUCCCUCCUACACCUCCACCUCCAUACCUCGAAGUAAUUUCCACUCAGAUUUCUUCGUCUGUGAAAUACACUGUGGAGCCAGUGAACUUGGGGGAACUUACUUUGCUCAAGGGCCGCGUUAAUACGCAAGAGGUUUUUGGUUUAUCAAACUCUGAUUUAGUCCCAGGGAAAUAUGAAGGGGGACUGAAGUUAUGGGAAGGUUCACUGGAUCUUGUUAAAGCGCUUCACAUGGAGAUUAAAAAUGGCAAUUUGUCACUCAGGGGAAAGCGAGUUUUAGAGCUUGGAUGUGGUCAUGGACUUCCUGGGAUCUUUGCAUGCCUUGAGGGUGCAGCUGCUGUGCAUUUCCAGGACUUCAAUGCUGAGGUCCUACGUUGUCUAACCAUUCCCAAUGUAAAUGCCAAUCUUUCAGAAAAUAUUCAACCCUUGGAAACAAAUGAGAUGAAUGCUGGUGGUGAAGUUCGUUUCUUUGCUGGUGACUGGAGUGAAAUCCAUAAACUUCUUCCACGUGUACAAGGCAAUGAGAAGAAUCUAAACUGUAGCUCAGGGCACAGUCAAGUUGCUAGUUAUGAUAUUAUUUUAAUGGCAGAGACGGUUUACUCAAUCUCCACUCUCCAAAGCCUUUAUGAACUUAUAAAGAUGUGCACAAGCAGUCCUCAUGGAGUUGUUUACAUGGCAGCAAAGAAGCAUUAUUUUGGGGUAGGUGGGGGAACCCGGCGGUUCCUAUCUUUAGUAGAGAAAGAUGGCCAAGAGCAUGAAAACUAGGACAUUCUUCUGGUUACAUAAUCUUUAUGUUGGUUACGUCCUCUGGCCAAUAGGUGUUAUGGCUUCUAACCUGGUUGCUGAAGUUGCAGAUGGUUCGUCCAAUGUCCGAGAGGUAUGGAAGCUUUCAUUUAGGUAGAUCUGGAUUUUCAGAUUUGUGGACUGAAAAUUAUUAUCACAUGUUACAUCUUUUUCAAUGUUCCUUUAUUUCUUUCCUGAGCCAUGUAUGGGCUCAAGCCCAAAAAAAUGUAUGGACUCACAGCCCACCAUACAAGGGACCAAUUUCAACUGAUAUUACUUUGUGACAAAAUGAAUGUUUAGGUUAUUGUCAAUUCCCCACCCCA